rnacentral:rRNA from 1 species
ACGAACGCUGGCGGCGUGCCUAAUACAUGCAAGUAGAACGCUGAAGGAGGAGCUUGCUUCUCUGGAUGAGUUGCGAACGGGUGAGUAACGCGUAGGUAACCUGCCUGGUAGCGGGGGAUAACUAUUGGAAACGAUAGCUAAUACCGCAUAAUAGUAGAUGUUGCAUGACAUUUGCCUAAAAGGUGCAAUUGCAUCACUACCAGAUGGACCUGCGUUGUAUUAGCUAGUUGGUGGGGUAACGGCUCACCAAGGCGACGAUACAUAGCCGACCUGAGAGGGUGAUCGGCCACACUGGGACUGAGACACGGCCCAGACUCCUACGGGAGGCAGCAGUAGGGAAUCUUCGGCAAUGGACGGAAGUCUGACCGAGCAACGCCGCGUGAGUGAAGAAGGUUUUCGGAUCGUAAAGCUCUGUUGUAAGAGAAGAACGAGUGUGAGAGUGGAAAGUUCACACUGUGACGGUAGCUUACCAGAAAGGGACGGCUAACUACGUG